rnacentral:rRNA from 1 species
UUGGCACCUCGAUGUCGGCUCAUCUCAUCCUGGGCUGUAGCCGGUCCCAAGGGUAUGGCUGUUCGCCAUUUAAAGACCUCGAUGUCGGCUCAUCUCAUCCUGGGCUGUAGCCGGUCCCAAGGGUAUGGCUGUUCGCCAUUUAAAGAGGUACGUGAGCUGGGUUUAAAACGUCGUGAGACAGUUUGGUCCCUAUCUGCCGUGGGCGUUGGAUAUUUGAAGGGGGCUGCUCCUAGUACGAGAGGACCGGAGUGGACGAACCUCUGGUGUACCGGUUGUCCCUAUCUGCCGUGGGCGUUGGAUAUUUGAAGGGGGCUGCUCCUAGUACGAGAGGACCGGAGUGGACGAACCUCUGGUGUACCGGUUGUCACGCCAGUGGCAUCGCCGGGUAGCUAUGUUCGGAAGAGAUAACCGCUGAAAGCAUCUAAGCGGGAACUCGCCUUAAGAUGAGAUAUCCCUGGAGGCUUGACCUCCUUGAAGGGUCGUUCGAGACCAGGACGUUGAUAGGUCAGGUGUGUAAGCGCAGUAAUGCGUUCAGCUAACUGAUACUAAUUGCCCGUAAGGCUUGAUCCUAUACCAGUCUGCG